UGUGGUUUUAACUUGUCCUCUGAUCUUUGACAUAGUGUUCAGCAUUCCCAGCUUGGCUCUGUAUGCUGGAUUUGGCUGAAGAUACUCUGUGGAUUUUGACAGAAGUUCUGCUACAGCUUUAUUUGUAACAUCAAUUUUCCUUUCCAUCUCUUGAAAUUCUUCAUCUAAUUUUGUUCCUUCUGCUCCACUUAUCUUUUCACUGAACAACUGGCUGGCUUUGUGAAACUGCUUUUUAAGCCCCG
rnacentral:lncRNA from 1 species